rnacentral:rRNA from 1 species
GACAGAGGGGGCAAGCGUUGCUCGGAAUUACUGGGCGUAAAGGGCGCGUAGGCGGGAUGGCAAGUCGGUUGUGAAAUCCUUCGGCUCAACCGAAGAACGUCGAUCGAUACUGCCAUUCUUGAGGGAUGCAGAGGAGACUGGAAUUCCCGGUGUAGCGGUGAAAUGUGUAGAGAUCGGGAGGAACACCGGUGGCGAAGGCGGGUCUCUGGGCAUCUCCUGGACGCUGAGGCGCGAAAGCGUGGGGAGCAAACGGGG